GAUGAAGAACGUAGCGAAAUGCGAUACGUAAUGUGAAUUGCAAAUUCAGUGAAUCAUCGAGUCUUUGAACGCACAUUGCUCCCCCUGGUAUUCCGGGGGGCAUGCCUGUCCGAGCGUCAUUGCUGCCCUCAAGCACGGCUUGUGUGUUGGGCCCCGUCCUCCGAUCCCGGGGGACGGGCCCGAAAGGCAGCGGCGGCACCGCGUCCGGUCCUCGAGCGUAUGGGGCUUUGUCACCCGCUCUGUAGGCCCGGCCGGCGCUUGCCGAUCAACCCAAAUUUUUAUCCAGGUUGACCUCGGAUCAGGUAGGGAUACCCGCUGAACUUAAGCAUAUCAAUAAGCGGAGGA
rnacentral:misc_RNA from 1 species